ensembl:antisense Gm15965 predicted gene 15965
GAAAAUCAAUAUCUAUUUCUAUACUUUCUUAAAAAUAAAUAAUGUAUUUUUAUUCCUUAAUUACCACUCUUUUAGAACAAUGGAGGAAAUGUUUUAGUACAAAAUAUAUUCACAGAAAGAGUCCAUUCUCAGGAGGCUAAGGCAGGAUAACUGUCAUGCAUUUGAGGCCAGCCUGGGCUACAGAGUGCUACACCAGCCAGGCCUAUAUUGCAAGAACCAUUUGAAAAAGCAAAGACCAAGCUGGGCGUGGUGGCGCACGCCUUUAAUCCCAGCACUCGGGAGGCAGAGGCAGNNNNNNNNNNNNNNNNNNNNNNNNNNAAAAAAAAAAAAGAAGUCAAAUAUCAUCAGGAAUACCCUGAAAAUGGUAAGGCCUCACAGAUUACAAAGCAAAGGUCGGGGCUGGAGAGAUGGCUCAGUGGCUAAGAGCAGUGACUGCUCUUCCAAAGGUCCUAAGUUCAAAUCCCAGCAACCACAUGGUGGCUCACAACCAUCUGUAAUGAGAUCUAACGCCCUCUUCUGGAGUGUCUGUAUACACUACAGUGUACUCACAUACUUUAUUUAUUAAUAAAGUAAAUCUUUAAAGUCUACACAGCAAUCCCAGGAAGGAGACAGUACUGCCAUCAUUCUCAUUUACAGAUGAGGAGACUGAGACAGACAGAGGAAUUCGAUCUCUUGUGCAAGAUCACCCAGCUAGCAAUGGUACAUAGGGAAAGGGGUGUAACUAAGUCCAGGAACAGAGACUGCUUUCUAGCUACCAAACUCUCCUGCUUUAAAAGAGUAACUCAUUCUAUACUAAAAUAAUGAGAAAAUAAUAAUGAAAACAUUUUUUAGUCCUUAAAAUUUAAAAACUUAAACAGGCUCCUGAGUUGCUACAGUUACAUGGUUUGAAAGUGGUCUGUCCCUUAAGUCUUCAUGCUUUGGAGGUUUGGUGCCCAGGGCGGCAGUGUUGGUGAUGGUGUGGAACUGUUAAGAAGUAGGGCCUUGUGGGAGUCAUUAGACUAUGGGGAGAAAUGCCCUGGGAGAGAAUGCUGGUUUCCUGUGGUGCACUCUUAAGGGAGCCAGUAGUUACAGAAGCCUGAGCUAUAUAUGCGACUUUCUAUAUGCUUCCUGUUUAACGACAUUUCCCUAUAUAACCUGUGGUAAUGCCCUCAAGUGUCACACUGCUUUGCCAGUUGCCAAAGGAAUGGGCCUGUCCAAUCGUGACUUCCGAUCUCUAAAAUUAUGAGCCAAAAUAAAAAUAAGACUUUUUUCUUUAUAAAAUUGGCCUCAUUACGAUAAAUCACUGCAGUGCUCUAAAAGCAGCUAAUACAGAACUGAAGGAACCAUGUCUAAGAUACCAUGUUCUGCAGAGCCUCACUUACACUCCACACAAUAGCA